rnacentral:misc_RNA from 2 species
CUGAGUCGUCGACACGAGUUGUUGCUGGUCCUCAAACGGGGGACAUGUGCACGCUCUGUUUACACAUCCACUCACACCUGUGCACCCUCUGUAGUUCCCUUCUGUGGUUCUGCAUCUUUACACACACACCGUAAAAAAGUCUUAUGGAAUGUACAUCGCGUUUGACGCAAUAUAAUA